rnacentral:rRNA from 1 species
UACGGAGAGUGCGAACGUUGUUCGGAUUCACUGGGCGUAAAGGGCGCGUAGGCGGUCUUGUAAGUCUUGUGUGAAAUCCCUCGGCUCAACUGAGGAACUGCACGGGAUACUGCGAGACUUGAGUUCGGGAGAGGGAAGCGGAAUUCCGGGUGUAGCGGUGAAAUGCGUAGAUAUCCGGAGGAACACCGGUGGCGAAGGCGGCUUCCUGGACCGAUCACUGACGCUGAGGCGCGAAAGCUAGGGGAGCAAACGGG